rnacentral:rRNA from 1 species
GAUGAACGCUGGCGGCGUGCCUAAUACAUGCAAGUAGAACGCUGAAGGAGGAGCUUGCUCUUCUGGAUGAGUUGCGAACGGGUGAGUAACGCGUAGGUAACCUGCCUGGUAGCGGGGGAUAACUAUUGGAAACGAUAGCUAAUACCGCAUGACAACAGUUAUUGCAUGAUAACUGUUUAAAAGGGGCAACUGCUCCACUACCAGAUGGACCUGCGUUGUAUUAGCUAGUUGGUGAGGUAACGGCUCACCAAGGCGACGAUACAUAGCCGACCUGAGAGGGUGAUCGGCCACACUGGGACUGAGACACGGCCCAGACUCCUACGGGAGGCAGCAGUAGGGAAUCUUCGGCAAUAGACGGAAGUCUGGCCGAGCAACGCCGCGUGAGUGAAGAAGGUUUUCGGAUCGUAAAGCUCUGUUGUAAGAGAAGAACGAGUGUGAGAGUGGAAAGUUCACACUGUGACGGUAUCUUACCAGAAAGGGACGGCUAACUACGUG